UCUGUCGGUCCGGAAUCAGUGGGUUAUCUGGAACCCCCCCCCCCCCCCCCACUGGUGCUAACUUGACCGUUGG
rnacentral:sRNA from 1 species